UACAUGGGGUGCAAACGUUGCUCGGAAUUAUUGGGCGUAAAGCGCACGUAGGCGGUUCGUCAAGUCGGAUGUGAAAGCCCUCGGCUCAACUGAGGAAGUGCACCCGAAACUGGCGAGCUUGAGUACGAAAGAGGAUCGCGGAAUUCCCGGUGUAGAGGUGAAAUUCGUAGAUAUCGGGAGGAACACCGGUGGCGAAGGCGGCGAUCUGGGUCGAUACUGACGCUGAGGUGCGAAAGCGUGGGGAGCAAACAGG
rnacentral:rRNA from 1 species